rnacentral:rRNA from 1 species
CCUACGGGGGGCUGCAGUCGAGAAUUUUCCGCAAUGGACGAAAGUCUGACGGAGCGACGCCGCGUGGUUGAUGAAGUACUUAGGUAUGUAAAAACCUUUUAUGAGGGAAAUUGUACCUCAUGAAUAAGGGGUUGCUAAACUCGUGCCAGCAGCAGCGGUAAUACGAGUGCCCCAAGCGUUAUCCGGAAUUAUUGGGCGUAAAGGGUGAGUAGGUGGCUAUAUUAGUCUUGUGUUAAAGCCUUCGGCUCAACCGAAGAUAUGCAUAGGAAACGGUAUAGCUAGAGUAUGUGAGAGGUGUGUAGAACUCAUGGAGUAGGGGUGAAAUCCGUUGAUAUCAUGGGGAAUACCAAAAGCGUAGGCAGCACACUGGCACAUACUGACACUGAAUCACGAAAGCGUGGGUAGCGAAUGGGAUUAGAUACCCUUGUAGUC